CGAUCCCAAGGUUCACUGCGGUUUUCCACAAGUCUGUUUCUGCCUAUCACCAUGAGUGAUUCAGAACUCCAAGAGCAGCUUAAGGACCUUGAUACUCAGAUUGAUCAUCAAGAUCUCAAUUAUAAGCUCAAGUCUUGAUGACAACUUGGUGAUCUGCAGGAAGCACCACCAUGUAAGGAAGGCCAAGACCACUCUGGAAUCAGUCAAGGGUGAAAUGGAGUGAGGCAUACAAGGAUAUGUGUGGUUUUACUCUUGGGAAGGAGGUUGAACAGUGCAGUGUUUCUUCUCUAGGAUUGCAGUGACCAGACAUGCUACUGUAACUCUCAUGGUCAUGUGCUGGAAUUAGCAGAUAUUCAACAAUUUGGCCAUCUCGCUGACCUAUUGAUAUCAGAAGACCGCAACAGCUCUGCAAAGCAAGUUGCAAAAAAGAAUCCAUGGAACUGGCAUUGACUGGAAACCAAUUGGAAGACUUUGGUUUGUGAUGUAGAGGAGUGGGCAGAGGGUGAGGAAAUUCUUAUUAAUAUUACAUGUAGUCAUGAAAAAUUGUAAGUGUUACUAUUAUUGUCAUUUUUUCAGUAGCAGAAGCAAAGACAACAAAAAACAGAAGUGAUAUGGAUGUCUUCGUCAUAUGGCAUGACUCUGCUGAUCCCGCAACAAAGAGGAGGGUGUUCAACAUCAUCCUGCUAGUCAGGAUUCUUCGGGAGCAGUGGAUUCUUGUGGCAGAGAUGGCCAACCACUAUAAAUACCUUUCAACUCAUCCUGGUUCUUUCAAAGAACUUUCCUGCUUGUUUGCUUCUGAAAAGUACUGGUAUGUAUUUGUAUUAUUUGGCUCAAACUCA